rnacentral:rRNA from 1 species
GCUCCUUCGGGUGGAGCGGCGGACGGGUUAGUAACGCGUGGGAACGUACCCAGAUCUGCGGCAUAGCCUUUGGAAACGAAGAGUAAUACCGCAUACGCCCUUCGGGGGAAAGAUUUAUCGGAUUUGGAUCGGCCCGCGUAAGACUAGAUAGUUGGUGGGGUAAUGGCCUACCAAGUCUACGAUCUUUAGCUGGUUUGAGAGGAUGAUCAGCAACACUGGGACUGAGACACGGCCCAGACUCCUACGGGAGGCAGCAGUGGGGAAUCUUAGACAAUGGGCGCAAGCCUGAUCUAGCGAUGCCGCGUGAGUGAUGAAGGCCUUAGGGUCGUAAAGCUCUUUCGCCUGUGAUGAUAAUGACAGUAGCAGGUAAAGAAACCCCGGCUAACUCCGUGCCAGCAGCCGCGGUAAUACGGAGGGGGUUAGCGUUGUUCGGAAUUACUGGGCNUAAAGCGCACGUAGGCGGAUUAAUAAGUCGGAGGUGAAAUCCCAGGGCUCAACCCUGGAACUGCCUUUGAUACUGUUAGUCUUGAGUUCGAGAGAGGUAAGUGGAAUUCCGAGUGUAGAGGUGAAAUUCGUANAUAUUCGGANGAACACCAGUGGCGAAGCGACUUACUGGCUCGAUACUGACCU